AGUGAACGCUGGCGGUAGGCCUAACACAUGCCAGUCGAACGGCAGCACAGUAAGAGCUUGCUCUUACGGGUGGCGAGUGGCGGACGGGUGAGGAAUACAUCGGAAUCUACUUUUUCGUGGGGGAUAACGUAGGGAAACUUACGCUAAUACCGCAUACGACCUACGGGUGAAAGCAGGGGAUCUUCGGACCUUGCGCGAUUGAAUGAGCCGAUGUCGGAUUAGCUAGUUGGCGGGGUAAAGGCCCACCAAGGCGACGAUCCGUAGCUGGUCUGAGAGGAUGAUCAGCCACACUGGAACUGAGACACGGUCCAGACUCCUACGGGAGGCAGCAGUGGGGAAUAUUGGACAAUGGGCGCAAGCCUGAUGCAGCCAUACCGCGUGGGUGAAGAAGGUCUUCGGGUUGUAAAGCCCUGUUGUUGGGAAAGAAAAGCAGCAGGUUAAUACCCCGCUGUUCUGACGGUACCCAAAGAAUAAGCACCGGCUAACUUCGUG
rnacentral:rRNA from 1 species